rnacentral:rRNA from 1 species
UACGUAGGUGGCAAGCGUUGUCCGGAAUUAUUGGGCGUAAAGCGCGCGCAGGCGGUCCUUUAGGUCUGAUGUGAAAGCCCACGGCUCAACCGUGGAGGGUCAUUGGAAACUGGGGGACUUGAGUGCAGAAGAGGAAAGUGGAAUUCCACGUGUAGCGGUGAAAUGCGUAGAGAUGUGGAGGAACACCAGUGGCGAAGGCGACUUUCUGGUCUGUAACUGACGCUGAGGCGCGAAAGCGUGGGGAGCAAACAGG